GCGGGAUGAGGUAGUAGGUUGUGUGGUUUCAGGGGAGUGAUUUUGCCCCAAUCAGAAGAUAACUAUACAGCCUACUGCCUUCCCUGG
rnacentral:pre_miRNA from 1 species